rnacentral:lncRNA from 1 species
UAUAAAUGAUCUUGAAGACCGCGUUGAAAGUCAUGUUUCAGUGUUUGCAGAUGACACAAAACUUUGUAAAACAAUACAAUGUGAGCAAGAUAUUACUUUGAUGCAGAGGGAUUUAGAUAGACUGGGGGACUGGGCACUCAAACGGCAGAUGAAAUUUAAUGUUGAAAAAUGCAAAGUUAUGCACUUCGGCGUAAAGAAUACACAAGCAACGUAUACCCUUAAUGGAAGCGAAUUAGGGAUAACAACACAUGAAAAGGACUUGGGAAUAGUUAUAGACAACAAACUAUGCAACAAUGUGCAAUGUCAAUCAGCA